AUCGCUUCUCGGCCUUUUGGCUAAGAUCAUGUGUAGUAUCUGUUCUUUUCAGAGUGAGAGAUGCUGUCCGGUCCCGAAUUAAGUUGGAAUUUCUAAGAUGUUCAUCGGAUUAUUCUGCCUUUCGUAAAAUAUGGUGCAUCCAGGGUGUUCUUGCCCUGUUAGUUCACGAUAAAUUGGUCCUUAAGGUAUAAACU